GAUGAAGAACGUAGCGAAAUGCGAUAAGUAAUGUGAAUUGCAGAAUUCAGUGAAUCAUCGAAUCUUUGAACGCACAUUGCGCCCGCCAGUAUUCUGGCGGGCAUGUCUGUUCGAGCGUCAUUACAACCCUCAAGCCCCCCGGCUUGGUGUUGGGGACCGGCCACCGGUGCCCUGCUGCUUCCGCGGCAGGCGCACCCGGGCGCCCCCGAAAUGAAUUGGCGGCCCCGUCGCGGCCUCCCUCUGCGUAGUAGCACACAUCUCGCAGCUGGAGCGCGGCGCGGCCACUGCCGUAAAACGCACCAACUUUUUUUACAGUUGACCUCGAAUCAGGUAGGAAUACCCGCUGAACUUAAGCAUAUCAAUAAGCGGAGGA
rnacentral:misc_RNA from 1 species